GCGAUAGAGGUGCGCGCUUUAAGAGUAUCUGUCCGGAGGAUGGCAAGAUCCGGCGAGGGGCAGGGAAAGGAAAUCGCGCCGAAGAGAGGCGAUUUGCCGCCGUUUCUCUGGUGUCCGGGAAAACAUCCCGUCCACUGUCAUCAUGUUUGAUGGAGCGCUUCG
rnacentral:ncRNA from 1 species